rnacentral:rRNA from 1 species
AACGAACGCUGGCGGCAGGCUUAACACAUGCAAGUCGAGCGCCCCGCAAGGGGAGCGGCAGACGGGUGAGUAACGCGUGGGAAUCUACCCAUCCCUACGGAAUAGCUCCGGGAAACUGGAAUUAAUACCGUAUACGCCCUACGGGGGAAAGAUUUAUCGGGGAUGGAUGAGCCCGCGUCGGAUUAGCUAGUUGGUGGGGUAAAGGCCUACCAAGGCGACGAUCCAUAGCUGGUCUGAGAGGAUGAUCAGCCACAUUGGGACUGAGACACGGCCCAAACUCCUACGGGAGGCAGCAGAGGGGAAUAUUGGACAAUGGGGGCAACCCUGAUCCAGCCAUGCCGCGUGAGUGAUGAAGGCCUUAGGGUUGUAAAGCUCUUUCACCGGGGAAGAUAAUGACGGUACCCGGAGAAGAAGCCCCGGCUAACUUCGUGCCAGCAGCCGCCGUAA